AACGCACCUUGCGCUCUUUGGUAUUCCGAAGAGCAUGCCUGUUUGAGUGUCAUGAAAAUAUCAACCUUGACUUGGGUUUUGUGCUCUAGUCUUGGCUUGGAAUUGGUUGCUUGCCGCUUUUACGAGCGACUCACCUUAAAUGUAUUAGCUGGAUCUGUCUUUGAGACUUGGUUUGACUUUUCGUUAUAAGUUUUUCGCUAAGGACAUUCUUCGGAGUGGCCUCGUUUCUAGGACGCUUGUACGCUUCCCAAUCCAAGUUCCUCCUCGUAGACAUGACUCUUUAAUAUCUGGCCUCAAAUCAGGUAGGACUACCCGCUGAACUUAA
rnacentral:misc_RNA from 1 species